GAUGAACGCUAGCUACAGGCUUAACACAUGCAAGUCGAGGGACCGGCGCACGGGUGAGUAACGCGUAUCCAACCUACCCAUUACUGUGGGAUAACCUGCCGAAAGACAGACUAAUACCGCAUAGUAAUGGAUGGGGAGUCGUCGGAUUAGCUUGUUGGCGGGGUAACGGCCCACCAAGGCAACGAUCAGUAGGGGUUCGGAGAGGAAGGCCCCCCACAACGGAACUGAGACACGGACCAAACUCCUACGGGCGGCAGCAGUGAGGAAUAUUGGUCAAUGGGCGCGAGCCUGAACCAGCCAAGUAGCGUGCAGGAGGACGGCCUAUGGGUGGUAUACUGCUUUUGUAUGGGGAUAGGUACCAUAAGAAGAAGGACCGGCUAAUUCCGUGCCAGCAGCCGCGGUAAUAC
rnacentral:rRNA from 1 species